rnacentral:rRNA from 1 species
GACUGAGUGGCGGACGGGUGAGUAACGCGUGGGUAACCUGCCUCAUACAGGGGGAUAACAGUUAGAAAUGACUGCUAAUACCGCAUAAGACCACAGGAUUGCAUGAUCCGGUGGUAAAAACUCCGGUGGUAUGAGAUGGACCCGCGUCUGAUUAGGUAGUUGGUGGGGUAACGGCUCACCAMGCCGACGAUCAGUAGCCGACCUGAGAGGGUGACCGGCCACAUUGGGACUGAGACACGGCCCAAACUCSUACGGGAGGCAGCRGUGGGGAAUAUUGCACAAUGGGGGAAACCCUGAUGCAGCGACGCCGCGUGAGCGAUGAAGUAUUUCGGUAUGUAAAGCUCUAUCAGCAGGGAAGAAAAUGACGGUACCUGACUAAGAAGCACCGGCUAAAUACGUGCCAGCAGCCGCGGUAAUACGUAUGGUGCAAGCGUUAUCCGGAUUUACUGGGUGUAAAGGGAGCGUAGACGGAGAGGCAAGUCUGAUGUGAAAACCCGGGGCUCAACCCCGGGACUGCAUUGGAAACUGUUUUUCUAGAGUGUCGGAGAGGUAAGUGGAAUUCCUAGUGUAGCGGUGAAAUGCGUAGAUAUUAGGAGGAACACCAGUGGCGAAGGCGGCUUACUGGACGAUGACUGACGUUGAGGCUCGAAAGCGUGGGGAGCAAACAGGAUUAGAUACCCUGGUAGUCCACGCCGUAAACGAUGACUGCUAGGUGUCGGGAGGCAAAGCCUUUCGGUGCCGCAGCAAACGCAAUAAGCAGUCCACCUGGGGASUACGUUCGCAGGAAUGAACUCGAAGGAAUUGACGGGGACCCGCACAACCGGUGGAGCAUGUGGUUUAAUUC